rnacentral:rRNA from 1 species
CGCGUAGGCGGAGGACCAAGUCCGGGGUGAAAUCUUUCGGCUCAACCGGAAAACUGCCUUGGAUACUGGUCUUCUUGAGGGAGGUAGGGGCAGGUGGAACUUCCGGUGGAGCGGUGAAAUGCGUUGAUAUCGGAAGGAACGCCGGUGGCGAAAGCGGCCUGCUGGAUCUCUUCUGACGCUGAGGCGCGAAAGCUAGGGUAGAGGACG